rnacentral:rRNA from 1 species
UACGUAGGUGGCAAGCGUUGUCCGGAUUUACUGGGCGUAAAGAGCGCGCAGGCGGUCGUUCAAGUCGCGUGUGAAAGCCCCCGGCUCAACUGGGGAGGGUCACGCGAUACUGAUCGACUCGAAGGCAGGAGAGGGUAGUGGAAUUCCCGGUGUAGUGGUGAAAUGCGUAGAUAUCAGGAGGAACACCCGUGGCGAAGGCGGCUCUCUGGGCCGGCCCUGACGCUGAGGCGCGAAAGCGUGGGGAGCGAACGGG